CAGGGUACUCGAGUGGCGAACGGGUGAGUAACACGUGGGUGAUCUGCCCUGCACUUCGGGAUAAGCUUGGGAAACUGGGUCUAAUACCGGAUAGGAACCAUCUUUAGUGUGGUGGUUGGAAAGUUUUUUCGGUGUAGGAUUAGCUCGCGGCCUAUCAGCUUGUUGGUGGGGUAAUGGCCUACCAAGGCGGCGACUGGUAGCCGGCCUGAGAGGGUGUACGGCCACAUUGGGACUGAGAUACGGCCCAG
rnacentral:rRNA from 1 species